UCAUGCUAAGGAGCGGCCGAUGUCUGAUUAGCUAGUUGGUGGGGUAAAGGCCCACCAAGGCGACGAUCAGUAGCUGGUCUGAGAGGACGAUCAGCCACACUGGGACUGAGACACGGCCCAGACUCCUACGGGAGGCAGCAGUGGGGAAUUUUGGACAAUGGGGGCAACCCUGAUCCAGCAAUGCCGCGUGUGUGAAGAAGGCCUUCGGGUUGUAAAGCACUUUUGUCCGGAAAGAAAUCGCUUCGGUUAAUACCUGGGGUGGAUGACGGUACCGGAAGAAUAAGGACCGGCUAACUACGUGCCAGCAGCCGCGGUAAUACGUAGGGUCCAAGCGUUAAUCGGAAUUACUGGGCGUAAAGCGUGCGCAGGCGGUUGUGCAAGACCGAUGUGAAAUCCCCGGGCUUAACCUGGGAAUUGCAUUGGUGACUGCACAGCUAGAGUGUGUCAGAGGGAGGUAGAAUUCCACGUGUAGCAGUGAAAUGCGUAGAGAUGUGGAGGAAUACCGAUGGCGAAGGCAGCCUCCUGGGAUAACACUGACG
rnacentral:rRNA from 1 species